GCCCGCGUAGCUCAAUCGGUAGAGCGUGAGACUCUUAAUCUCAAGGCUGCGGGUUCGACCCCCGCCGUGGGCU